GUGCCGGGCAGGGGGUGGCGGAGGAGGGGGGGGGGCUUCGCCGGGACCCCCAUUGCAGCACUGCACAUCCCGGCCACGGCGGUGACCCCAACGUGUGCCACAGCGUUGGGUCAGCUCUGCCAAAGCUGUGUGCCAGCAGCCACCCCGAGCCAUGGCACCGCGCAGUGAUCCCCUGCGCCCGGCCGGGCACCCGCAGAGCACAGACAGCAUCCAAACCCAGCCGGGGCUCCUGCACCCAUCGCAGCUUUCUCCCUCCAUGCAUUCAGUUUCCUCCACACCAACCCCCCCGGCUGACCCCCCCCCCCCUCUGUACCCUCCCCCCAUUGCAUGCGUCCGGAUGGGACUUUCCCCGUGCGCGGGGACAGGGCAGUGUGUGUGGGUGGCGGGCGGGGGAAGAGCAUUUUCCAGCGUUGGAAACCAAGAGGAAAACAGAGCGCGGGACAGAACGGUGCAGGUUAAUCAUUACAGCAGUGCUCCCCCUGGAGAAGGAAGUUGCGAGGACGUGGCCUUCAGCCACCCAAGGGCGGCGUGGCGCAAGGACACCCCGCGCUCUGCUGCCCUUCCCACACUGCGGUGCCCUCCGGUGCCACGAGGCCUCGAUACGGGGCGAGGAGCUGUGCCCCCCCCGCCCCACAGAAGCCCCCAGCCCGGGGCUGCUCCCCCCGGUUGCCCCCAGACCGCGACGUGAGGACAGGCAGUGAUCCGGGUGGGACCGUGGAAACACAGCAAGGCUGGGCACGGUGGGGGGGGGGGAUGGCAGCGCUGGGACCUGACAGCAGCGCCCGGCCCCUCCCGGAAAGCGCUCCCCCAGGAGCAGAGGCGCCGGCAGGGACGCGAUGCUCUGCUCCCCACCCUCCAUCUGGCAGCAGGAGAUGUAAGUCACAGGCAAAAGUGCUGGGUGGAAAGGAAGGACGCGGCCCCGCUCACGCAGCUUUCCAGGCAGCCCAUCCCUCCGGCACGCAUCGCUGCCCGCCGGGGGUGGGGGGGACGUGAGGCAGGCUGUGCCCGGGCCUUGGCGUGCUGCUGCAGGGCUUCCCUUGGAGCACAGCACCCUGUAGUGCUGCAGGGCCCCACUGCCUGCACCCCCUACACGGCAGGGAAGGGGCUUUCGCCCCACCUGCACGGGUGGACGCUGCAGGGAUGCCGGAGUUCUGGCACUGCGGGCUGUGCUGAGCAGCUGAACCACACGUCCCCGUGCUGAGAUACAUUGGAGAGGAGAGGAGGGGACGAUCAGCCAUGGGAUCGCGCUGUGGGGCACACAGCCCCAGCUCUGCAGCACCGACCAUGGGUCGCAGCACUGCCCUGGGCCUGGGGAGGACCCCCGCUGUUGCCUGCAGCCUCAGCCCCUCUCCCGGCAUCCAGGUGGGCAACGGGGGAGGGAGGAUGAGGUGGGGGGGUGGGGGGCAGAGCAGGGCAGGCAGAGCCCGCAGCACCGGGGCUGAACCCCCCCCAU